CCCCCAUCCCCAAACGUACACACACAAAAGACAAUUUCCACCCUGUUCCAAAAGUCAGUGAGUCAACGGGUCCCAUUCCCGAAAUGAGCCUGACUUCACCUGAGAUGAGACAGACUUCUGUUCGACUUUUGCCGUCCGUGUUGGUUUCGUUGUAGACUCGAACUGGGAGACACCACGAACCAGCUCGGAGGAAGAGAGUAAGAACAGAUGGUCCUUAUAAACCAGAUGAGGGAUUUCCACACGUUGUAGGUACGUCUGGGUUACAUCUCACGUGUCCGGGAGUUUUUGUUGUGUUUCACAGCGAUCAUAAACUUUGGCUCAGGUCAGCUCAAAACUGCCAUCGCCAACGAUUGCUUUGGAAUCAGUUUUUAACUUAACAU